UAAACACAACAGCAGCUGAAGUGAGGAGAGAGGUGAGAGCUUUCCACCAUUGUUACUAUUCACUUCAAACUUCCCAAGCUCAUAUCUUGAGCUACGGAGCUCCGAUCGCCGCACCAUUUGCGGCUACGCGUUCCUUGUGAAGAGCUCUACAAAACCCACCCAAGAAACCCUCAAGGUUUGCUCUAAUCCUUGCUUAGCUUUGGAUUUGUGUUAUCAAAUCUGUUGGGAAAGUUUGAUUAUUGUGGCUUUGGGAGCUUUUGGAACUUAUUUGUGCUUGUUGGAGUGGAUUUGAAAGCUUGGAUUGUGGUUGGAAGCUUGUUGUGGUUCAUUUUGAGUUUGGGUGCAUAAAGGGAAUCGG